AUGCUGGGUGCUUGCUCCUCUGUGUCCCUCCUACUUGUCGUAAUAGCGUUCCUAUACCUCGCACAUAGGUUAAGCCCCAAGAGCAAGAUGUGUGGUCGCACAUGCUCGUCGGCGCCGCUUCCGCCAGGGCCGUCGCCGUGGCCGGUUGUAGGCAACCUGCCGGAGAUGAUGCUCCACAAGCCGGCGUUCCGGUGGAUCCAUCUGGUGAUGAAGGAGAUGGGCACCGACAUCGCCUGCUUCCGCCUCGGCGGCAUCCACGUCGUCCCGGUCACCUGCCCCGAGAUCGCGAGGGAGGUGCUCACGAGGCAGGACGCCAACUUCGUGUCCCGCCCGCUCAGCUUCGCCUCCAGGGCCAUCAGCUACGGGUACAAGGACGCCGUGCUCUCGCCGUUCGGCGACCAGUGGAAGAAGAUGCGCCGGGUGCUCACCUCCGAGAUCGUCUGCCCUUCCCGCCACAGGUGGUUCCACGACAAGCGCGCCGACGAGGCCGACAACUUCACACGCUACGUCUACGCCCUCACUUCCGGUGCCACGGGCUCGUCGUCAACGUCGGGAGCUAACGUGGACGUCAGGCACGCCUCACGGCAUUACUGCGGCAACGUCAUCCGCCGGCUUGUCUUCGGCAAGCGGUACUUCGGCGAGCCCCAGCCCGACGGCGGUCCGGGGCAGCUCGAGGUGGAGCACAUAGACGCCACCUUCACCUCCCUGGGGCUCCUCUUCUCCUUCUGCGUCAGCGACUACCUCCCGUGGCUGCUUGGCCUUGACCUCGACGGCCACGAGAAGAAGGUCAGGCAGGCCAACGCGACCAUAAGUAGACUGCACGACAUGGUCAUCGACGAGCGGUGGAGGCAGCGGAAGGGCGGCGAGAGGCGGGAGGAGCCCCAGGACCAGGAUUUCCUAGACGUUCUCAUCACCGUCAACGACGGGGAUGGCAACCCGUUGCUUACCAUCGAGGAGGUCAAAGCAGUGUGCAAGGACAUAACGUUAGCGGCGGUAGACAACCCGUCCAACGCCGUGGAGUGGGCGCUGGCGGAGAUGGUGAACAGCCCGGAGUUGCUGGACAAGGCAAUGGAGGAGAUAGAUCGGGUGGUGGGCCGAGAGCGGCUGGUGCAAGAGUCGGACAUCCCACAACUUAACUACGCCAAGGCGUGCAUACGCGAGGCAUUUCGACUGCAUCCAGUCGCUUCCUUUAACUUGCCGCAUGUAGCGACCACUGACACCACUGUCAUCGGCUACCGUGUGCCCAAGGGCAGCCAUGUCAUCCUCAGUCGGACUGGCCUGGGCCGGAACCCGACCAUUUGGGACGAGCCACUCCGGUUCAGGCCAGAGCGCCACAUGGGAGGCGACAUUGAUGUGACACUAACGGAGAGCAGAUUGCGGUUCAUCUCCUUCAGCACCGGCCGUCGUGGCUGCAUGGCGGCAUCGCUAGGGACGGCCAUGAGUGUUAUGCUCUUCGGGAGGCUCCUACAGGGCUUCACAUGGACCAAACCGGCCGGCGUGUCUGUCAUCCAUCUUAGUGAGUCCAAGCACAACCUUUUUAUGGCAAAGCCGCUAGUGUUGCAUGCCGAGCCACGUCUUCCGAUGCACCUAUACCCUCCUCGGGCCUGUUAA
rnacentral:rRNA from 1 species